GCUCACUCUGAACUUCAUUCUUUUCUAGCACUAUGUCGGAAGACGAAGCGGACUUUAUGAGAGAGAAUCCCGAACUGAACCAGUUGCCCGAUCACUCUCCGGUGGUGAAAGAAGCCAUCAAGAUUCUAAGGCAGAAGGCUGAGGCUGAGAGUGGUCACUGGCCCCUCGGGCUAUCAGAUGACUUCUUACUGAGAUUCCUGAGAGCCAGGGACUUCUGCCUGGAGUUGGCCUUCAAGCUUCUUAACAACUACCACAAAUGGAGGAAAGAAUGUCCAGAAAUCAGUGCAGACUUGCGUCCUUCUCCUCUCCUAAACCUCUACCAUGCUGGCUACCAUGGGGUCUUAAGGUCAAGAGAUGCUUAUGGAAGCAAAGUUCUAAUUUACAGGAUCGAGCAUUGGGACCCAAAAGAGUUUAGUGCGUAUGAAGUGUUUCGAAUAAGUCUCAUAACUUCUGAGCUUAUAGUGAAGGAGGCGGAGACGCAGAUGAAUGGAAUUAAAGCUAUAUUCGAUCUUCAAGGGUGGAGAUUUCUGCAUGCAUUUCAGAUCACACCAGCUAUUGCCAAAAAGAUUGCUGCUGUCAUGACAGACUCAUUUCCUCUGAAGGUUCGUGGAAUACACCUUAUAAAUGAGCCUUUGUUCUUCUCUCCAGUCUUUGCAUUAAUCAGGCCAUUUCUACCAGAAAAAAUAAAGCAACGGGUGCACUUGCAUGGAGGCAACUAUAUACCAACUCUUCACAAUCACUUUGCAGAGAAUAUCCUUCCUCCUGAAUAUGGGGGGACAGGACCAGCAAUGAGUGAACUUAGUGAGGAAUGGACAAAUUACAUCAUGAACUGUGAAGAUUACCUGCUCAGUAUAUCUGAGACUACAUAGCCCCAACCACCCGAAAAUAAUAUAUUCCUAUCAUUUAGAUACAUUUAAUUAUGAAAAUCUCAAACAAUUGAAGAGCAAUAUUUUGGAAAUAUUACUCACUAAAUGGUAAUUUUAAAGAUAUCACUUGGUAUAAUGAAAAAAGCAUUUUGCAUGGUGCGUAGUUUAAGGACCAUUCCACAAUCAAUUGUAUCUAGGUAAUGGUGCUGGGGUAAAACUGGAUUUUCCAGAUUCCUUAUGUGUAUUAAUAUAACAAAUGGGUUUACAUUGCAAAACAUUAUACAUGAUAAUUCAAUUUCGAGGAGCUGAUGUAUUGAUACCUCAAGGAAGGGCACAAUUUAUAUUAGGGUUUUUUUUUUUUGGAGUGAAAAAAAAAAUCUCAGGUAGCAAUUUUCCUGAUAUUUCAAAUGCCUUUUGCAGAAGUAAAUAUGUUUCUAAAUAAUGAGAUUGAGUCUCAGUUUCUUAAGUUUACAUGUAUUUUUAGAUGAAAACAUAACAUGAUGGGACUGCUAAUGAGAAAAAAUAAAUCACCACAUAUAUGACAUCCUUUAGAACCACUUGAUAGGUAACACUAAAUAUUUUCAAUUUACAAAUGAAUAUUCCAUAGGUAUUUUACAAUGCUUAAAAAAAUCCUUAGGGGAAGAUAGUACAAGAGUCAAUGCAUUUCAUGAAAUUAUACUUCGUUUAGCAGUAGUUUUGCUUAAAAAAAAAAAAAAAAAUUCAAUAAGUCUGGCACUCUGUCCUAAAACUAUAGAAAAAAACUUACACCGAGGUGCUGCUCUGCGCUGAAUAUGAAGAUAAAUAAUGAAGAUGAGAGCACUUAAUGGAUUUUCAAAGUGAAAAAGUGUAUUUAAAUGUUGCCAAUAAAGAUCAACGUUUAGACCUAAGGGUCUUUAUCAAGCUUGAUAAAGACCCUUAGGUGGAAACUUUGAUCCUUAUUGGCAACAUUUAAAUACACUUUUUCACUUUGAAAAUCUACUGAGUGCUCUCAUCUU